rnacentral:rRNA from 1 species
UACGUAGGGUGCAAGCGUUAAUCGGAAUUACUGGGCGUAAAGCGUGCGCAGGCGGUCAUGCAAGACAGAUGUGAAAUCCCCGGGCUCAACCUGGGAACUGCAUUUGUGACUGCAAGGCUGGAGUCUGGCAGAGGGGGGUAGAAUUCCACGUGUAGCAGUGAAAUGCGUAGAGAUGUGGAGGAACACCGAUGGCGAAGGCAGCCCCCUGGGUCAAGACUGACGCUCAUGCACGAAAGCGUGGGGAGCAAACAGG